CGCUUGGACAGACUAGGAAUGCCUGUUGGGCAGAGAUACUAAUGCAUAAUUCCAAUGGUGGUUCUAGUUUUUGGUCUAACCGAUGUGGACUUGGAUAACACUUGAUAUGUAGUUUGUGUUAAGAUGUGUUUAACUUGUAGCUGUGAAAGCUGACCAAACACUUGGAAUCUAAUGGGAUCUUAUAUUUAACUGUAUGUAAUCUUCCUAUGUCAUUGGG
rnacentral:misc_RNA from 1 species